GGCUCGGUAGCUUUUUUGGUAAAGCGCUCAUCUAGCAUACAAGAAACCUGGGUUCGAAUCCUUGCCGAGCAC
rnacentral:tRNA from 1 species